rnacentral:rRNA from 1 species
UCUGCCCGCUGGCGGCGUGCCUAAUACAUGCAAGUCGAGCGAACAGACGAGAGUGCUUGCACUCUCUGACGUUAGCGGCGGACGGGUGAGUAACACGUGGGUAACCUACCUAUAAGACUGGGAUAACUUCGGGAAACCGGAGCUAAUACCGGAUAAUAUUUAGCUUCGCAUGAAGCAAUAGUGAAAGACGGUUCUGCUGUCACUUAUAGAUGGACCCGCGGUGUAUUAGCUAGUUGGUGAGGUAACGGCUCACCAAGGCAACGAUACAUAGCCGACCUGAGAGGGUGAUCGGCCACACUGGGACUGAGACACGGCCCAGACUCCUACGGGAGGCAGCAGUAGGGAAUCUUCCGCAAUGGACGAAAGUCUGACGGAGCAAUGCCGCGUGAGUGAAGAAGGUUUUCGGAUCGUAAAACUCUGUUGUAAGGGAAGAACAAGUACGUUAGUAACUGAACGUACCUUGACGGUACCUUACCAGAAAGCCACGGCUAACUACGUG